rnacentral:rRNA from 1 species
UACGGAGGGUGCAAGCAUUAAUCGGAUUUACUGGGCGUAAAGGGCGCAUAGGCGGGUAGACAAGUCAAAUGUGAAAUUCCAGAGCUCAACUCUGGAGCUGCAAUUGAAACUGUAUAUCUAUAGAGGGGUGGCGGAGAAAACGGAAUUCCACGUGUAGCGGUGAAAUGCGUAGAUAUGUGGAAGAACACCAGUGGCGAAAGCGGUCUUCUAGCUAUUUCCCGACGCUGAGGCGCGGAAGCAUGGGGAGCAAACAGG